AGGAUGAACGCUGGCGGCGUGCUUAACACAUGCAAGUCGAACGAUGAACCUCACUUGUGGGGGGAUUAGUGGCGAACGGGUGAGUAACACGUGAGUAACCUGCCCUUAACUCUGGGAUAAGCCUGGGAAACUGGGUCUAAUACCGGAUAUGACUCCUCAUCGCAUGGUGGGGGGUGGAAAGCUUUAUUGUGGUUUUGGAUGGACUCGCGGCCUAUCAGCUUGUUGGUGAGGUAAUGGCUCACCAAGGCGACGACGGGUAGCCGGCCUGAGAGGGUGACCGGCCACACUGGGACUGAGACACGGCCCAGACUCCUACGGGAGGCAGCAGUGGGGAAUAUUGCACAAUGGGCGCAAGCCUGAUGCAGCGACGCCGCGUGAGGGAUGACGGCCUUCGGGUUGUAAACCUCUUCAGUAGGAAGAAGCGAAAGUGACGGUACCUGCAGAAGAAGCGCCGGCUAACUACGUGCCAGCAGCCGC
rnacentral:rRNA from 1 species